ACAUUUAGUGCAAGGUAAACCCAGGAAAGACCGAUCAAGGAUAUUCCGAGGGUCACCAAUGAGAUAGAUAGUAGUUCAGGACCGUUC